AUGAACGAUGAUGUGGCUACUUUGGCCAACUGCUUAGAGUUCCCAGAAGAUGAGAAUGAAUUAGAUGGGGAUCUAUCCGACAGCGAUGGCUAUCUUUCAGAGGAUCCUGAGUGUAUGUACUACUCUGACAGUGAUGAUGAUAAUGUUCUGAAAGAGUGUAUUGUACAAGAUGAUCUUGGCGAACAGAACAAUGAGAUGCGUUUGGCUGUGAAAAAGCAAAAGAAAAAGUUGAAGAAGUUGCUGGAUAAGGACCCUAAGUUCGCAAACUUCCUUGAGAAAUGGCAAUUGGAAUUGGUGAACUAUGAAAGUAAAGAAGAUUCAGAUGAAGAAGAUGAGAUGGAUUCUGUGGAAAACGGGGUCGAUUCUGGUGAUAAAGAUCCUCCUAGUGAUAAGAUCCUUACAAGCAAGACAAUAAGUGAAUGGUGUCAACUAGUCUUAGAUGAACCUAAAGCACCUGCUCUGCGUAACCUACUAAAUGCUUUCCGGGAUGCAUGUCAAUUUGGUCUUAAAUCAAAUAGCCUUUCCAUGCAGAGACUUCAAAGUACUGAAGUAUUUUAUCAGAUAAUAUCAUUUGUUCUUUCGAAGGCAGACAACAUUUUCCGUGCUCUCUUAGAAAUUUCUGAUGAUGACAAGGGGAAACUUAUGAAUCAGAGAAAUGGAAAGAAAUGGCAAGAUAUUGAGCUGCUCAUAAAGUCUUACUUGUGGAAUUCUCUUGAUCUGAUUAGUCAACUUACUGAUAACCAAAUACUUACAUAUGUCUUGACUCAGCUUAGAACAUCUGCGGUAUAUUUUUCUGCGUAUCCCUCAACAUCAAGGAGGCUUCUCAAGAUCUUAGUUCGCUUGUGGGCAAGUGGUGAUCAGAACUUGUCCCUGUCUUCGUUUCUUAUGAUUCGAGAAGUGGCUUCACUCUUACCUGACUGUCUGGAUUUCUGCUUAACUAAAACAUAUAAUGCAUACCUUUCCAGUUCCAAGAUUGUGGACAACAGAAAUAUAGAAAAUAUCGAUUUUAUUCUGAACUGUCUGGUGGAACUUUAUUCUCUGGAUAUUCAGAAAGCAGGUGAAAGGGCAGUAAUUUCUGUGGGACAGUUGAGUGCUAUUCUUAGACAGGCGUCUAAAACAAAGGGAAAGGAAGAUCUUUUGAAGAUAGAUAACUGGCAGUUUAUUAACUGCAUAAACCUAUGGGUUAGGUUUAUUUGUGUUAAUUACAAGGAUUGCCACAACCUCCAUCUAUUAUUUUCUUCAGUUGUUCAGAUAAUAAGGGGAGUGGCUCAUUUAUUGCCAGGCAUGCGAUACUUGCCACUGAGACUGAAGCUUGCGCAGAUGCUAAAUGAGCUUUCGAAUUGCAGUCAGAUGUUCUUUCCAGUUCCAUCGUUGAUAUUUGGGUCCCUAGAAUUUAGGGAGACACCUCAGAAAGAACAAACAGAAAAAGGAAAGACCCACUUUUCAUCACUACUGAAGGUGCCAAGGAACAUGCUGAAAUCAAGAGAUUUCCAAGAGCAGUGCGUUCUUUCAGCAAUUGAGGUUCUAUCGGCACAUUUUUUCCAGUGGAGCUAUCAUGUUUCUUUUCCAGAAGUAGCCACCAUUCCGCUCAUCCUCUUGAAAAGAUUGCAAGAGCAGACAACGAUUGAGUCCCUCCGCCGUCCUCUUAAACGAAUGAUAGACCAGGUGAGCGAGAACAGGGAUUUCGUGCAAAGGAAGAGGGAGGUGGUCUCUUUCUCACCAAACGACGUGUCGUCAGUCGAGAGCUUCCUCCAGGUUGGAUUCCGCCCUCGCCAUCGCCAUGAUAUAUUCCCAUAUUUCGUAGACCAUGUCUAUGAUCACAGACCUGACCGACUCUCCCCUGAAACGCAGGAGGAGGAGAUGAAUGGGAACGCUUCCUUCACGCAGUUCUACGCAUCAGUGGCAAAGAGUCGUCAAUCGAGAGGUAUGAGCGACCUUUGUUUGUCUGAUGAACAGCGCCGCCAUCUUCUUCCGAUCUUCAAGUUUGAUGAUGGCUUCGUUCUAAUAUCUGGAACAUUUGGCACGCUGUUUGUUCGCAGGGAGAAAAUUGGUGUAGAGAGCGAUGCUAGGGUGUGA
rnacentral:rRNA from 1 species